AAGUCGUAACAAGGUAACCGUAGGUGAACCUGCGGUUGGAUCAUUACUAAAUCAAAAAUUUUUAUUUAGUAAUAUCAAUUUAUGAGUUGAGAUUUUAUUUUUUUAAAGUUUCCUCUAAAUUGAUAUCUAGAUAAAAUUUUUUUACCCAAUGUGAACUGUAUUUGUAUUUCGAGUUUUUAAUGGUACUUUUUUUAAAAAAAUACCAAAACUCGGUAUAUUUUCAAACCCAAUUUCUAUAUAAUUUUGUCUGACUUUUUUUUCUGACCAAGAAAAAUCCAAAAACAACUUUUGACAACGGAUCUCUUGGCUCUC
rnacentral:misc_RNA from 1 species